rnacentral:pre_miRNA from 1 species
GAUGUACUCCCUCCGUCUCAAAAUUCUUGUCUUAAAUUUGUCUAGAUACGGAUGUAUCAAAUACUAAAACGUGACUUGAUACAUCCGUAUGUAGACAAAUCUAAGACAAGAAUUUUGGGACGGAGGGAGUACAUC